rnacentral:rRNA from 1 species
AACGAACGCUGGCGGCAUGCCUAACACAUGCAAGUCGAACGAGACCUUCGGGUCUAGUGGCGCACGGGUGCGUAACGCGUGGGAAUCUACCCUUGGGUUCGGAAUAACAGUUAGAAAUGACUGCUAAUACCGGAUGAUGACGUAAGUCCAAAGAUUUAACGCCCAAGGAUGAGCCCGCGUAAGAUUAGCUUGUUGGUGGGGUAAUGGCCUACCAAGGCGACGACCUUUAGCUGGUCUGAGAGGAUGAUCAGCCACACUGGGACUGAGACACGGCCCAGACUCCUACGGGAGGCAGCAGUGGGGAAUAUUGGACAAUGGGCGAAAGCCUGAUCCAGCAAUGCCGCGUGAGUGAUGAAGGCCUUAGGGUUGUAAAGCUCUUUUACCAGGGAUGAUAAUGACAGUACCUGGAGAAUAAGCUCCGGCUAACUCCGUGCCAGCAGCCGCAGUAA